GAAAUUAGACUCGGACAGCACCAGAGACAACGAGGUCAACUGCGGCUGCUAUGUCGGCGGUGCAGUCUCUGAUAGGCUCGGCUGCUGAUGAAGAAAUACCGCGGUAGUUCGAGGAAACCAUCGUCCAGUCCGAUGAGGAGAUCGAUCGGCUGCGCAGACUGCUGGACGCCAGCUGGGAGACUCAGCCUUACAUCGUGCCUGUAGGGUUUUUACCUACUGACUGCUGACUGACCAAAUGGAAAAAAGUGUCAGUAUCCCCUGGAGCAUCAUGUUUGCAAGCAGGAGAGGUGUUCCAGUGUGCACCAGCCUGAGCCUCCGCAGGUUAAAAUGGAAAAGGAGGAGCUCUUUGCUUGAACACAGGUAGAAUUGCUGGUUGAGAAGCAGAAGACCGAUGCCGUCACGUUCCCCCAACUUUUGAGGAGACUCUAUGCAAGGAGCAGAGUCUGGAGGGAAGCAGGAAGCAUUUUUGUGAUGCAGAUCAGGGG
rnacentral:lncRNA from 1 species